UCCGGUUUGUCACCGGCAGUCUCAUUAGAGUGCCCUUGCGUAGCAACUAAUGAUAAGGGUUGCGCUCGUUGCGGGACUUAACCCAACAUCUCACGACACGAGCUGACGACAGCCAUGCAGCACCUGUCUCACGGUUCCCGAAGGCGCUCUCGCAUCUCUGCAAGAUUCCGUGGAUGUCAAGACCAGGUAAGGUUCUGCGCGUUGCAUCGAAUUAAACCACAUGCUCCACCGCUUGUGCGGGCCCCCGUCAAUUCCUUUGAGUUUCAGCCUUGCGGCCGUACUCCCCAGGCGGGACACUUACUGCGUUAGCGACGGCACCGGGAGGGUCGCUCCCCCCGACGCCUAGUGUCCAUCGUUUACGGCGUGGACUAC
rnacentral:misc_RNA from 1 species